GGCUAACGGGUGAGUAACACGUGGGUGAUCUGCCCUGCACUCUGGGAUAAGCCUGGGAAACUGGGUCUAAUACCGGAUAGGACCAUGCUUUAGUGUGUGUGGUGGAAAGUUUUUCGGUGUAGGAUGAGCCCGCGGCCUAUCAGCUUGUUGGUGGGGUAAUGGCCUACCAAGGCGGCGACGGGUAGCCGGACUGAGAGGUUGGUCGGCCACACUGGGACUGAGACACGGCCCAG
rnacentral:rRNA from 1 species